UACAGGGGGGUGCAAACGUUGCUCGGAAUCAUUGGGCGUAAAGCGCACGUAGGCGGUCUGUUAUGUCGGAUGUGAAAAGCCCCUCGGCUCAACUGAGGAAGUGCAUCCGAAACUGGCAGGCUAGAGUACCAAAGAGGGUCGCGGAAUUCCCCGGUGUAGAGGUGAAAUUCGUAGAUAUCGGGAGGAACACCGGUGGCGAAGGCGGCGACCUGGGGUGGAUACUGACGCUGAGGUGCGAAAAGCGUGGGGGAGCAAACAGG
rnacentral:rRNA from 1 species